AGCAGGGUAGAGAAACGGCAUCUCAUCUGGCUCAUAACCAGAAGAUAGCGGGUUCAACUCCCGCCCCUGCAA
rnacentral:tRNA from 1 species